rnacentral:rRNA from 1 species
AGUAACACGUAGGUAACCUGCCCAUGUGCCCGGGAUAACUUCUGGAAACGGAUGCUAAAACCGGAUAGGUAGCAGACAAGCAUUUGACUGCUAUUAAAGUGGCUAAGGCCAUGAACAUGGAUGGACCUGCGGUGCAUUAGCUAGUUGGUGAGGUAAUGGCCCACCAAGGCGACGAUCGGUAGCCGGACUGAGAGGUUGAACGGCCACAUUGGGACUGAGACACGGCCCAGACUCCUACGGGAGGCAGCAUG